CCUACGGGGUGCAGCAGUGGGGAAUAUUGGGCAAUGGAGGCAACUCUUACCCAGCAAUGCCGCGUGAAUGAAGAAGGUCUUCGGAUUGUAAAGUUCUUUAAUUGGGGACGAAAAAAAUGACGGUAUCAAAGGAAUAAGCCCCGGCUAACUACGUGCCAGCCGCCGCGGUAAUACGUAGGGGGCAAGCGUUGUUCGGAAUGACUUGGCGGAAAGGGUGUGGAGGCGGGGUAGACACUUAGAAGUGAAAUACCUAGAGCUUAACUCAGGUGCUGGUUCUAAAAUUGCGAUCCUUGAGUGCAGUAGAGGAAAGUGGAAUUCCUAGUGUAGCGGUGGAAUGCGUAGAUAUUAGGAGGAACAUCAGUGGCGAAGGCGACUUUCUGGACUGUAACUGACGCUGAGGCACGAAAGUGUGGGGAGCAAACAGGAUUAGAUACCCGAGUAGUC
rnacentral:rRNA from 1 species